UACGUAGGGCGCAAGCGUUGUCCGGAAUUAUUGGGCGUAAAGAGCUCGUAGGCGGCUUGUCACGUCGGGUGUGAAAGCCCGGGGCUUAACCCCGGGUCUGCAUUCGAUACGGGCAGGCUAGAGUGUGGUAGGGGAGAUCGGAAUUCCUGGUGUAGCGGUGAAAUGCGCAGAUAUCAGGAGGAACACCGGUGGCGAAGGCGGUUCUCUGGGCAUGACCUGACGCUGAGGAGCGAAAGUGUGGGGAGCGAACAGG
rnacentral:rRNA from 1 species